UACGUAGGGUGCAAGCGUUGUCCGGAAUUAUUGGGCGUAAAGAGCUCGUAGGCGGUCUGUCGCGUCGGCUGUGAAAACCUGGGGCUUAACUCCGGGCUUGCAGCCGAUACGGGCAGACUAGAGUUCGGCAGGGGAGACUGGAAUUCCUGGUGUAGCGGUGAAAUGCGCAGAUAUCAGGAGGAACACCGGUGGCGAAGGCGGGUCUCUGGGCCAAAACUGACGCUGAGGAGCGAAAGCGUGGGGAGCGAACAGG
rnacentral:rRNA from 1 species